rnacentral:rRNA from 1 species
GCUGAAUGUGGGGAUAAUUUAUCUCCGUGUUGAAGCUAACGCGUUAGCACUCCGCCUGGGGACUACGGUCGCAAGACUAAAACUCAAAGGAAUUGACGGGGACCCGCACAAGCGGUGGAGCAUGUGGUUUAAUUCGAUGCAACGCGAAAAACCUUACCACUCCUUGACAUGGAGAUUAGAUCCUUCUUAACGGAAGGGCGCAGUUCGGCUGGGUCUCGCACAGGUGCUGCAUGGCUGUCGUCAGCUCGUGUCGUGAGAUGUUGGGUUAAGUCCCGCAACGAGCGUAACCCUCAUCCUUAGUUGCCAGCGGAUAAUGCCGGGUACUUUAAGGAAACUGCCGGUGGUAAACCGGAGGAAGGUGGGGAUGAUGUCAAGUCAGCACGGCCCUUAUGGGGUGGGCUACACACGUGCUACAAUGGUGACUACAAUAGGUUGCAACGCCGCAAGGCUGAGCUAAUCCAUAAAAGUCAUCUCAGUUCGGAUUGUCCUCUGUAACUCGAGGGCAUGAAGUCGGAAUCGCUAGUAAUCGUGGAUCAGCAUGCCACGGUGAAUACGUUCUCGGGUCUUGUACACACUGCCCGUCACGCCAUGGGAAUUGGCUUAACUCGAAGCUGGUGCGCCAACCGAAGAAAACCCACCCAU